CAGGGAAUAGUUUAUGUAGAAUUUCAGCUUUGGGUGCUGAUGG
rnacentral:tRNA from 1 species